AUGGGAGAGCGGGAGAAGGGAGGAGGAGAAGGCCGCCCAGCUGCAGGGCUCGUCGUCGGCAGCGGAGGGGAGGGAUCUCUCCGGCCGGUUGAGCUCGACCUCAUCGGCACGGUCGGUGCGGACUCACCUUUGCUGGUCGCACCGGCGACCCUGUCAGCGGAGGCCGAGCAGGAGCCGCGGCAGCUGUUCCGGUGCCACUACUGCCGGCGGGAUUUCUACAGCUCGCAGGCGCUCGGCGGGCACCAGAACGCGCACAAGCGUGAGCGCACGCUCGCAAGGCGCCACGCCGGCGUGCCAGCGCCGCUCGGACAGCACGGUUACGCCUUCGCCAUCCACGGCGGGCUCGGUGCGCCGGGGCCUGGCCAGCUUCCGAGCUGGUUCCGCGCAUUCAACGUCCGGAGGACGGCGGUGGCGGCGUUCGGCGAGGACGAAGGCUGGCGACGGCGGAGUGACGAAAAUGUUGGCCACUGUAGCGAUGGAGAUCAAGAGCUGCCGAACCUUGACUUGACGCUAAAGCUGUAA
rnacentral:rRNA from 1 species